rnacentral:rRNA from 1 species
UACGGGGGGGGGCAAGCGUUGUUCGGAAUUACUGGGCGUAAAGGCUCGUAGGCGGCCAACUAAGUCGGAUGUGAAAUCCCCAGGCUCAACUUGGGAACUGCAUCCGAUACUGGAUGGCUUGAAUUCGGGAGAGGGAUGCAGAAUUCCAGGUGUAGCGGUGAAAUGCGUAGAUAUCUGGAGGAAUACCGGUGGCGAAGGCGGGUCUCUGGGCAACAACUGACGCUGAGGAGCGAAAGCGUGGGGAGCGAACAGG